rnacentral:rRNA from 1 species
GACGAACGCUGGCGGCGUGCUUAACACAUGCAAGUCGAGCGGUAAGGCCCUUUCGGGGGUACACGAGCGGCGAACGGGUGAGUAACACGUGGGUGACCUGCCUCUAGCUCUGGGAUAAGCCUGGGAAGCUGGGUCUAAUACCGGAUAUGACCUCGCGGUGCAUGUUGCGGGGUGGAAAGCCUUGUGCGGCUAGGGAUGGGCCCGCGGCCUAUCAGCUUGUUGGUGGGGUGAUGGCCUACCAAGGCGACGACGGGUAGCCGGCCUGAGAGGGCGACCGGCCACACUGGGACUGAGACACGGCCCAGACUCCUACGGGAGGCAGCAGUGGGGAAUCUUGCGCAAUGGGCGAAAGCCUGACGCAGCGACGCC